rnacentral:sRNA from 1 species
UGUUUUUUUUGGAGUUUCUCGGCCAAAACCCGUAAUUCCCCCAGACCCGAAACCAUAGCAUGUAAUAUUAGUUUCGUUCCAAGCGUCACUCGAACCAGAGACCUCUAAGUUUCGUCUAAGGUUUUUACCAAUUGAACUAACGACACUUGGUAGAUGAUGAAUAUCCAAAUUAGCUCAUAAUAUCUUACAUUUUAUAAUUAAUGCAAAUAACACUAAAACGAAUAUCAUCAAGAGUUGACAUUAUACAUGUUCAGAUCCUCUAGCACAAAUAACAAUGCCACCUUCGGAAGAUGUUUAAUCACGAGUGAUCGACUCUAGAGUUCGACUCUAUCUCCCAUACAUAAAACUAAAAAAAAGUUGACACUAUACUUAGUUAAAUCUAGUGUUAGUUCCUUUUAAAUGUUAUGUUUUUAUUUUAUAUAU